rnacentral:tRNA from 1 species
AGCAGUGUGGUGUAGUGCUUGGAGCACUGGACUAUGACUCUGGAGAUCAGGGUUUGAAUCCCAGCUCGGCUA